AUUGAACGCUGGCGGCAUGCCUUACACAUGCAAGUCGAACGGUAACGGGCCUUCGGGUGCCGACGAGUGGCGAACGGGUGCGUAAUACAUCGGAACGUGCCCGAUCGUGGGGGAUAACGAGGCGAAAGCUUUGCUAAUACCGCAUACGAUCUACGGAUGAAAGCAGGGGACCGCAAGGCCUUGCGCGGACGGAGCGGCCGAUGGCAGAUUAGGUAGUUGGUGGGAUAAAAGCUUACCAAGCCGACGAUCUGUAGCUGGUCUGAGAGGAUGAUCAGCCACACUGGGACUGAGACACGGCCCAGACUCCUACGGGAGGCAGCAGUGGGGAAUUUGGACAAUGGGCGCAAGCCUGAUCCAGCCAUGCCGCGUGCAGGAUGAAGGCCUUCGGGUUGUAAACUGCUUUUGUACGGAACGAAAAGCCUUCUUUUAAUACAGGAGGGUCAUGACGGUACCGUAAGAAUAAGCACCGGCUAACUACAUG
rnacentral:rRNA from 1 species